GUUGUGGUGGCUGAGUGGUAAAGCGCUUGGCUUCUGAGCAGGAUGUUCGGGUUGGAAUCCUGGUGAAGACU
rnacentral:tRNA from 1 species